AGUGAACGCUGGCGGCAGGCCUAAUACAUGCAAGUCGAACGGCAGCACAGCAGAGCUUGCUCUGUGGGUGGCGAGUGGCGGACGGGUGAGGAAUACAUGGGAAUCUGCCCAGUCGUGGGGGAUAACGUAUGGAAACGUACGCUAAUACCGCAUGCGCCCUACGGGGGAAAGCCGGGGACCGCAAGGCCUGGCGCGAUUGGAUGAGCCCAUGUUCGAUUAGCUAGUUGGCGGGGUAAAGGCCCACCAAGGCGACGAUCGAUAGCUGGUCUGAGAGGAUGAUCAGCCACACUGGAACUGAGACACGGUCCAGACUCCUACGGGAGGCAGCAGUAGGGAAUAUUGGACAAUGGGGGCAACCCUGAUCCAGCCAUGCCGCGUGAGUGAAGAAGGCCCUCGGGUUGUAAAGCUCUUUUGUCCGGAAAGAAAAGCAUCUGGUUAAUACCCGGGUGUUCUGACGGUACCGGAAGAAUAAGCACCGGCUAACUUCGUGCC
rnacentral:rRNA from 1 species